rnacentral:rRNA from 1 species
AGUGAACGCUGGCGGUAGGCCUAACACAUGCAAGUCGAACGGCAGCACAGUAAGAGCUUGCUCUUACGGGUGGCGAGUGGCGGACGGGUGAGGAAUACAUCGGAAUCUACUUUUUCGUGGGGGAUAACGUAGGGAAACUUACGCUAAUACCGCAUACGACCUACGGGUGAAAGCAGGGGAUCUUCGGACCUUGCGCGAUUGAGUGAGCCGAUGUCGGAUUAGCUAGUUGGGGGGGUAAAGGCCCACCAAGGCGACGAUCCGUAGCUGGUCUGAGAGGAUGAUCAGCCACACUGGAACUGAGACACGGUCCAGACUCCUACGGGAGGCAGCAGUGGGGAAUAUUGGACAAUGGGCGCAAGCCUGAUCCAGCCAUACCGCGUGGGUGAAGAAGGCCUUCGGGUUGUAAAGCCCUUUUGUUGGGAAAGAAAAGCAGCAGGUUAAUACCCCGCUGUUCUGACGGUACCCAAAGAAUAAGCACCGGCUAACUUCGUG